rnacentral:rRNA from 1 species
UAAAACAUAGCGUUAAUGUAUUGGAUUCCAUUAGAACUCCACAGUUAAGCGCACUUGGGAUAGAGUAGUAUUGGGAUGGAUGACCGCUCAGGAAGUCCUAGUGUUUUAC